rnacentral:rRNA from 1 species
UACGUAGGGUCCGAGCGUUGUCCGGAAUUACUGGGCGUAAAGAGCUCGUAGGUGGUUUGUCGCGUUGUUCGUGAAAACUCACAGCUCAACUGUGGGCGUGCGGGCGAUACGGGCAGACUAGAGUACUGCAGGGGAGACUGGAAUUCCUGGUGUAGCGGUGGAAUGCGCAGAUAUCAGGAGGAACACCGGUGGCGAAGGCGGGUCUCUGGACCGAGACUGACGCUGAGGCGCGAAAGCGUGGGGAGCAAACAGG